rnacentral:rRNA from 1 species
GACGAACGCUGGCGGCGUGCCUAAUACAUGCAAGUAGAACGCUGAAGAGACGAGCUUGCUCUUCUUGGAUGAGUUGCGAACGGGUGAGUAACGCGUAGGUAACCUGCCUUGUAGCGGGGGAUAACUAUUUGAAACGAUAGCUACUACCGCAUAACACUGGAUGACACAUGUCAUUUAUUUGAAAGGGGCAUUUGCUCCACUACAAGAUGGACCUGCGUUGUAUUAGCUAGUAGGUGAGGUAAUGGCUCACCUAGGCGACGAUACAUAGCCGACCUGGGAGGGUGAUCGGCCACACUGGGACUGAGACACGGCCCAGACUCCUACGGGAGGCAGCAGUAGGGAAUCUUCGGCAAUGGGGGCAACCCUGACCGAGCAACGCCGCGUGAGUGAAGAAGGGUCUCGGAUCGUAAAGCUCUGUUGUAAGUCAAGAACGGGUGUGAGAGUGGAAAGUUCACACUGUGACGGUAGCUUACCAGAAAGGGACGGCUAACUACGUG